rnacentral:lncRNA from 1 species
CAACAGGCUCUGCUGCUGCUCCACUCCCUAUGACAGGCCCUCUGGUUACCCCAGCCCUUACAUCUAAAACAGAGAAUCAACCUGUGCUGAUAUCAGUUGCUCCUAUAUACAAAAGAAAGAAACAAACAAAAAAAUGGCUGCAAAAAUCAGCUCAUUUGGUAAGAAAAGAAUCUCCUACUAAGAAGGAGAUGAAAGAAGAGGAUGAGGAAGACUGUGAUGAAACAGGGCCAUCACAUGGAUGGAAGGAGGAAGAGGCACAACUCAUAAAGGAAGUCAAUACCUGGAACAACCUUCACGUGCUACCAUAUCAGAAUUAGAUUCAGCACCUCUCUCACAUGUCCUCGCUGGAUCUGACGGAGGAGCAGAACACAUGCCUCCACCCAGUGCCAACCAUGACAGGCAGAAAAAUCCUUGUCACCCACGAAAUCCCACUGAGGACUUUCUCAUGCACUACACAUUAG